AUUUCAAUCAUGUAUUAUAAGCUGUUAAGACAUAGUGUUAGGAAGUUAAACAGGUCAUGAUUCCUUCUCUAUUGUCUAUGAUAUAUUGUUGUGAAAAUAUCUCCUUCAAACAACUGUAUUUAUUCAAGUGUCUCACCAAAAAACUACACAUCAUGAACACAUCAUGAAAGUUUGAAUUUACCUUCGCCCAAUAGUCAUUUUUACAGAACAGAGCUUGAACAUACCAUAAUGGAACUUAAUGGAACCUACAUUAACGUUAGUAGCUUCAAUAUUUAGCCAUGCAGGACUGUGCUGCCCACCAGUCAUCACAGUUAAUUUAACAUUUGGUUAAUUUAACAUUAGGUUAAUUAGUUUAACGUUAACAAUCGACUAGGGUGACUACAAUAUUCACAGCACCGUGGAUCAAGUGUCAUCGUUACCAAGCUCUUUCGAGCGGUUGAACCAACAAAUCUUAGAGACUGUGAAAGCCUUUAACGAAGAAGGACUGAAAGACGGAGGGACAGAUAGACGGACGGAAGGACGGACACCACGUUGUCGCGGGGGUUUUUCAGGAAGUUUAUCGACUGUGAAUCUUCAGACGCAGAUGUCUGCUAUAUAGGAAGUAAAGUUUCCCGUCGCCGACCAACAGUCCAAACCUCAACAUUAUUACUAAUAAAUUAACAAAUUAACAUUUAUUCAGAGAGGCAGACAUAUUGACAUUUUAUUUGACUGUUUAUUUUAUUUUUAAUUAAGUUUUAUUUUAAUAUAUAUUUUGUUGGAGAAACCUGAACACCAGGAGAAACCCCUUAGUGAAAUAUGAUAGAUUGAAGUUUUCUUAAUGAUGAUGGGUGAUGGGGGUGAGGGGGCGGUUGAGACAGGAAGGUGAGGUAGAUGAGGAGGGAGGUGAAGGGGGUUGGAAGAGGGAGCUACUCUUCUCCAACGUGAGCUCAAUUGUCACAGUCG